CCAGAUCGAAAGCCGCAUUUGCUCGUCACACACAAGUCUUUCUUCUUUCUAGACUUUUCUCGCGAGCGGGCAAGGUCUGAGCAUUCUAGUCCCUCUGUGAUCGCGUCUAGCUUGGCGUCCGACUCGUGAAACUCGGGUCGAGCAGAGCAUCAGACAUGCACUUAUCGUGUCAUUGAUAUUGUAUCGCCCGGAGAUCCGCAAGGGGAGGGUUUAACAUGCGCGACAAAAGCUUGGAACAACUCUGCAGGGACAGGACCCACUAUUAUUAUUCCUCCUCCUCCCUCUCUCUCUCUCCCCUUGGCCCCUCUUUUUCCCCACCCGAACAAAUCUAUCGGGCCCAGCGCGCUUGUAUAGCGCAUCUCCGCGAUCUCCUCCAACGCUGUAGUGCACGGAACGGCAGUAUGCAGAGAACCAGCUCGGAAAAAAAAACGGCGGUGGGUUCCCCGGCGAUCGCUAGUAGUUUCAAGUCCCGGACUCCCUCUUCCCCCCGCGCGGUUCGGCGUGUAAUAUCCUGCGAUUCAUUUCGCUUGUACAACUGCUACUACUACUAUAGCGCAGACGUGUAAAUUUCCUGCCUUUGCUUGAUUGUGUAUGGUGACGUUCUCCCCGGAUGGCCCGCCCGUUUUUUAUUCUUUCGUGGCGCUGUGGCUCGCUCAUGUGUUGCCCUGCACCGCCCCUUUUUUUCGUGGGCUACGAGGAUGCGUUGCGGGUGGGUGGUGUGGGAGGGAGGGAAGGAGGGAGGGAGGAAAGUAGUUGGGGUCCUUGAGUUCACUUUGCGGCUCGUGCUUUUUGGUGCGAAACUCGAUUCAGACUACUCUUGGUCUGU
rnacentral:RNase_P_RNA from 2 species